GGGAACAUUAAGGACCUGGAUGAAAUAAGUGCCCCUUUUUCUCAAGACAGCCAUCUUCAGUCGGGGCUGGCUACUUCCCUCAAUCAUCCUCACCAUCACCCUCGAAGAGAAGAGGGCUGUCACCUCCCCCCAGGACCUCACUGGCACCCUGAGCCGGGCCAAGACUAUAAGUAUAAAAACCUUCAGGUGCCACCCAGUGCUCAGCAGCAGCCGACACACAGGUUCUGUGAAUCCACAGGAAAGAAGCUGAGAAGAGGCAUAGUCAGUUUUCCUCACCUCCUCUGGGCGGCUGAUCUCGAUUCCUUCUGGGCCCGUGAUUCCCAAAUCUAGCGCCUCCUUAGCACCCUGAAUAACAGCAAAAGAAAGAAAAUUGAGAGAACCAUACAGAUACGAGAAAAUAACGAACCCCAGGGACACGAAACCAUGCCGGACACCGUGCAUUCCAAUAGGCCUGCCGCUUUGCUCAUUUCUGCAGUAUCCGCCUUCCAAAGAGGGCAGAGUAAGUAUGGGGUUCCCUGGCAGCCAGGCUCUCCUGCACCUCGCUUCCUAAGGACUGAACGUAUUUUUUUUCCUCUUAAAAUUCCAGUUCUAGAUCUAGCCAAUAGGCUUGGGACAUCAAAGACCAUCGGUCUGAAAAAUCAGAAUUUCCCCACCGGAAAUCUAGUCAAAUCUCUAGUUUCCAGCAACACCUAGAAUAACCCUUACCAAGCAUCCUAUUUAAGACCCAGGAGGUACAAAGGGAUUCGUCUACCAGUGAGCAGAUUGCUAUAAUAUCUCAGUUCCUCGG